rnacentral:rRNA from 1 species
UACGUAGGGGGCAAGCGUUGUCCGGAUUUAUUGGGCGUAAAGAGCGUGUAGGCGGCCAAGCAGGUCCGCUGUGAAAACUCGAGGCUCAACCUCGAGACGUCGGUGGAAACCGUUUGGCUAGAGUCCGGAAGAGGAGAGUGGAAUUCCCGGUGUAGCGGUGAAAUGCGCAGAUAUCGGGAAGAACACCCGUGGCGAAAGCGGCGCGCUGGAUCCCUACUGACGCUGAGGCACGAAAGCCAGGGGAGCAAACGGG